rnacentral:tRNA from 1 species
GGGGCUGUAGUCUAGCCUGGUUAGGACCCUAGCUUCGGGAGUUAGAAACCACGGUUCAAAUCCGUGCAGCCCCA